CCUAAGAUGGACAAAACUACCAUCGGCACAAAGUAACAUUCAUGAUCAUUUUUCUUACAAGAUAUAAGUCACUCAACAGACUGGGAAAAAUCAGAUGGUGUGCUGCAAGCAGCAGUUGAAGCUGGUUCUUUGUACCACUGAUUUGCUUCACGAGUUAAGAAAUUAGCUUCUGACAAGAAAACAUCCUUAUAGUCAUCAUCAUCAUAUAUAAAUUGUGGAGGAUCUGGCGAACCAAUCCCAACAAUGGUACUUCCGCU
rnacentral:misc_RNA from 1 species